rnacentral:rRNA from 1 species
CCCUUAGAUGUUCUGGGCCGCACGCGCGCUACACUGAUGCAUUCAACGAGUCUAAAACCUGGUCUGAGAGGGCUGGGUAAUCUUUUGAAAGUGCAUCGUGAUUGGGAUAGAUGAUUGCAAUUCUUCAUCUUCAACGAGGAAUGCCUAGUAAACGCAAGUCAUCAGCUUGCAUUGAUUACGUCCCUGCCCUUUGUACACACCGCCCGUCGCUCCUACCGAUUGAACGAUCCGAUGAAAACUGUGGAUUGAGAGUCUGAGUGGGCUCGCCUACCUCAACUUUCGAGAAGCGGUUUAAAUCUUAUCGUUUAGAGGAAGGAGAAGUCGUAACA